rnacentral:rRNA from 1 species
UACGAAGGGGGCUAGCGUUGCUCGGAAUUACUGGGCGUAAAGAGCUCGUAGGCGGUCUGUCGCGUCGGCUGUGAAAACCCGGAGCUCAACUCCGGGCCUGCAGUCGAUACGGGCAAACUGGAGUGUUGCAGGGGAGACUGGAAUUCCUGGUGUAGCGGUGAAAUGCGCAGAUAUCAGGAGGAACACCGGUGGCGAAGGCGGUUCUCUGGGCAUGUCCUGACGCUGAGGAGCGAAAGUGUGGGGAGCGAACAGG